rnacentral:snRNA from 1 species
GGAUAUGAGGGUGAUCUGGCCAUGACACCUGUCACCCCAUUGAUCACCAGGAGUGAUUCGGCUGAUCUGGCUGGCUAGGCGAGUGUCCCCUUCCCCCCUCACUGCUCCAUGUGCGUCCCUCUGAAGCUGCACGCUCAACUGAAGAGGACAACCUUUCCCCAAUAGAAGAGGACUGGUCUUUGGUGACAAAUAUAUGAGUAGCUGCACUCUCCUGCUGGAACCUCCAAACAAGCUCUCAAGAGAUGUAGAGGUCACUGGAUAUAAUCAGUUUUU